rnacentral:rRNA from 1 species
GUGUCAGCCGCCGCGGUAAUACGUAGGGUGCAAGCGUUGUCCGGAUUUAUUGGGUUUAAAGGGUGCGUAGGCGGCCCUGUAAGUCAGUGGUGAAAUACUCCAGCUUAACUGGAGGGGUGCCAUUGAUACUGCAGGGCUUGAGUUAAGUUGAAGUUGGCGGAAUUGACGGUGUAGCGGUGAAAUGCUUAGAUAUCGUCAAGAACACCGAUAGUGAAGACAGCUAACUAAACUUUUACUGACGCUGAGGCACGAAAGUGUGGGGAUCAAACAGGAUUAGAAACCCCCGUAGUCC